GAAGAAGUUAGAAGAAUCAGCUGGAAAGCCGAGCCAAAGAGAGUGACAGCCUCGUAAUCAAAAACAGAAACCUACACCUUAGAAAGAGUACCACGGAACACGAGAAACUUUGUGGGAACACGGGAGGACCACCUCCCAAGGCUAAAUACUACCUAGUGACCGAUAGCGAAUAGUACCGUGAGGGAAAGGUGAAAAGAACCCCGGGAGGGGAGUGAAAGAGAACCUGAAACCUUAUGCCUACAAGCAGACAAAGUCGAGCACUCAACUUUGCAAAGAUUUGGAGGAGUUAAAUGUUUUACGUAUACGUACUAACCAUGAAAAAUGGAGAGAUUUAUAUAGGAUUUUCAACAAAUCUUAAAAACAGAAUCAAACAGCAUUACGAAAACAAAGUGAUAUCCACAAAAAACAGAGAACCAAAAUUAGUUUACUACGAAGCAUAUAUGUCAAAAAAAGAUGCAAUGGAAAGAGAACAGAAACUAAAGCAAAGAGGAAAUGCAAAAAGAUGGUUAAAAGAAAGAAUAUCCAAUAGCUUAAACCAAGACACAAACAAAGAAUAAGAUUUGUGUGCGAAGUUGAGAGCUCGAUGAUGACGUACUUUUUGUAGAACGGGCCAGCGAGUUACGAUAUGCAGCAAGAUUAAAGAUUUAAGAUCUGAAGUCGUAGAGAAAUCGAGUCUUAAUAGGGCGCAAGUUGCAUGUUGUAGACCCGAAACCAGGUGAUCUAUCCAUGUGCAGAGUGAAGUAGAGGUAAAACUCUAUGGAGGCUCGAACCGGGUAACGUUUAAAAGUUAUCGGAUGACAUGUGGAUAGGGGUGAAAAGCCAAACGAACUUGGAUAUAGCUGGUUCUCCUCGAAAUAGCUUUAGGGCUAGCCUUAUCGUAGUAAUUGAAGGGGGUAGAGCACUGAAUAGUCUAGGGGCAUAUAAUGUUACCGAAACUUAUCAAACUCCAAAUACCAUCAAAUUAGCGAUAGGAGUCAGACUAUGAGGGAUAAGCUUCAUAGUCAAAAGGGAAAGAGCCCAGACCACCAGCUAAGGUCCCAAAAUAUAGAUUAAGUGGAGAAGGAUGUAACACUACUCGGACAACCAGGAUGUUGGCUUAGAAGCAGCCAUACAUUUAAAGAGUGCGUAAUAGCUCACUGGUCAAGUGGUGAUGCGCCGAAGAUAAACGGGGCUAAAAUCUAAUACCGAAGCUGUGGAUGCGUGUAAACGCAUGGUAGAGGAGCAUUGUGUAAGGAGCGAAGACAAGCUGUAAGGCGAAUUGGACCAAACACAAGAGAGAAUGCUGGCAUGAGUAGCGAGAAGGUGAGUGAGAAUCUCACCCGUCGAAAGCCAAAGGUUUCCUGGGGAAGGCUCGUCCACCCAGGGUAAGUCGGGACCUAAGCCCAGGCCGAAAGGCGUAAGCGAUGGACAACAGGUAGAAAUUCCUGUACUAUCUUUAGCGUUAAGAGAGAAGUGUUGACGCAGGAGGAUAUGGGAAGCGUGCGAACGGUAGAGCACGUUCAAGUAAGUAGGAGGUAGAAGUAGGCAAAUCCGCUUUUACAAAACUUCGAGAUACGAUGAGGAGCGAAAAACAAGUAGCGAAGUUCCAGAUUCCACACUGCCAAGAAAAGGCACUAUCCAGCAAAGAGAUACCCGUACCACAAACCGACACAGGUAGGCGAGGAGAGAAUCCUAAGACGCGCGGAAGAACCUUUGUUAAGGAAUUCGGCAAAAUGACCCCGUAACUUAGGGAGAAGGGGUACCGAGAAUUGUAUAUGUAAAACACAAAAAGCAAAACUUGGUCGCAGAGAAUAGGCCCAAGCGACUGUUUACCAAAAACACAAGUAUCUGCUAAAUCGAAAGAUGAAGUAUAGGUGCUGACACCUGCCCGGUGCUGGAAGGUUAAGGGGAAGACUUAACCGGCAUUCAAUUCUAUGCAUAAUGUAAGGAGAAAAAAAUGUAUUACGUUUAUGUAAUAAAAAUUCAAAUUAAAAAGAUAAGAGCAUAUCCAAAAGACUUAAAACAAAGAAUAAAAAGUCAUAAUGGAGGAUUCAACAAAUCAACAAAAAAUCACCAAUGGGAAUUAGUAUAUUACGAAGCAUAUAAAAACGAACAAGAUGCAAGGAAACGAGAAAGAACAUUAAAGAACUCAGGACAAGGAAGAAGAUUCCUCUGGGAAAGAAUAGAAAAAUCUCUGAAAUAACAUUGUGUAAGGAAUUGAGUGCCGGUGAAGGUUAGAACUUAAGCCCCAGUAAACGGCGGCCGUAACUAUAACGGUCCUAAGGUAGCGAAAUUCCUUGUCGGGUAAGUUCCGACCCGCACGAAAGGUGUAACGAUUUGGGCACUGUCUCAACAAAGGAUCCGGUGAAAUUGUAGUAGUCGUGAAGAUGCGACUUACCCACGGUAGGACGGAAAGACCCCGUGGAGCUUUACUGCAAGCUGACAUUGGAUUUUGGUAUUGAAUGUACAGGAUAGGUGGGAGACGAAGAAGUUAGGUCCCAAGACUUAACAGAGUCAAAAGUGGGAUACCACCCUUUCAAUGCUAAAGUUCUAACUUGGCACCUUGAAACAGGUGUGAGGACACUGUCAGUUGGGCAGUUUGACUGGGGCGGUCGCCUCCAAAAGAGUAACGGAGGCGUUCAAAGGUUUCCUCAGAAUGGUUGGAAAUCAUUCAAAGAGUGCAAAGGCAAAAGGAAGCUUAACUGCGACACCCACAAGUGGAGCAGAUACGAAAGUAGGACUUAGUGAUCCGGUGGUACCGAGUGGAAGGGCCAUCGCUCAACGGAUAAAAGCUACCCCGGGGAUAACAGGCUUAUCUCCCCCAAGAGUUCACAUCGACGGGGAGGUUUGGCACCUCGCUGUCGGCUCGUCUCAUUCUGGAGCUGGAGAAGGUUCCAAGGGUUGGGCUGUUCGCCCAUUAAAGAGGCACGCGAGCUGGGUUCAGAACGUCGUGAGACAGUUCGGUCCCUAUCCACCGUGGGCGUAAGAAAUUUGAGAGGAGCUGCUCCUAGUACGAGAGGACCGGAGUGGACAGACCGCUGGUGUAUGAGUUGUACCGCCAGGUGCACAGCUCAGUAGCUAAGUUUGGAAGGAAUAAGUGCUGAAGGCAUCUAAGCACGAAGUCCACCUCAAGAUGAGAUUUCUUUGUAGAAAUACGAGAGAAACCAGGGAGAAAAGCUGGUAGAUAGGUCAGAGGUGUAAGAGUAGUAAUACUUUAAGCUAACUGAUACUAAUAUAUCGAAAGCUUGACCGG
rnacentral:rRNA from 1 species